GAUAACGUCUAUAUCACGUUGAAAAACACCAGUUCGAUCACUGAGGUUGAACAACGUUGGGCACGGUUAAUACUUGAAUAGGUGACCGCUGGGAAUACUUCUUGUGUGACGAUGAUG
rnacentral:rRNA from 1 species